rnacentral:rRNA from 1 species
AGCGAACGCCGGCGGCAGGCCUAACACAUGCAAGUCGAACGAACUCUUCGGAGUUAGUGGCGGAAGGGUGAGUAACACGUGGGAACGUGCCUUUUGGUUCGGAAUAACUCAGGGAAACUUGUGCUAAUACCGAAUGCGCCCUUCGGGGGAAAGAUUUAUCGCCAUUAGAGCGGCCCGCGUCUGAUUAGCUAGUUGGUGAGGUAACGGCUCACCAAGGCGACGAUCAGUAGCUGGUCUGAGAGGAUGACCAGCCACACUGGGACUGAGACACGGCCCAGACUCCUACGGGAGGCAGCAGUGGGGAAUCUUGCGCAAUGGGCGAAAGCCUGACGCAGCCAGGCCGCGUGAAUGAUGAAGGUCUUAGGAUUGUAAAAUUCUUUCACCGGGGACGAUAAUGACGGUACCCGGAGAAGAAGCCCCGGCUAACUUCGUG